CGGACCUGGCCCCACCCAGUCAGAACUGCAGCCCCUGAAGUCUCUACAAGAGGCUUGUUUCUGGACAGGAAGCUCGUUCUGUGGGGACUUCCAACAAAAACUCUGGAAUCACCCAGACUUAGGUUUGAAGCCCGAUGGUGCCACUGACGACCUGUGUGGCCCUGGGGAAGCAACUCAAUGUCACCUCUGGACAACAGAUCUACUAAAUCCUGCUAGCUGGGGUCUGAGGAUGCCAUCAGGUCUAGACAAAACCAGCUGAGCUGGAAGUGGGGCCGAGGGCCAGCGUGGGAAGAACGAACGAAAGCAGAGGACGCCUCAAGCUGGCUGCGUCCUGGGACUGGGAGAGCUGCAGAGAGAGGACUCCGCCACGAGGCACAGACUUAGUGAAGCAGAGCUGACUGCCUAGGACCCCCGAGUUUCUCUUUGUCUGAACUGGUUCACCAACAUGCUCCUCGGGAAACAUCCAGACGGACAGGACUUGGAGAGCUUCCGGGCCAGUGACUACAUGGAUGUGAGGAGAGUGGUGCUGGGAGAGGAUGGGGCCUCCGAGCAGGGAAACCGACACCCUUCCCGACGCAUCGUCUUCGGUCUGGGCGGUCAU